rnacentral:lncRNA from 1 species
GAGGAGAAGACCGCUGUCCCUAUCGGUUUGGAGAUGGGGCCAUCUCCAACAAGACUGUCAGAAAAAUGAGGAGCAGAGCCCAAGAUGAUUGGAACAUCCUUUGUGACCCGAGAACCCUGCUACUGUUCCCAGAGCUCUGCCCCUUGACCCUACUGAGGCUCCAACAGACUGGCACCAGAUAUCAUCACUUUGCCGCCGCCGCCGUCAUCAUUAUCAGUAACAAAUGAUAGAAUGCAUUUAAAUGGCAAAACAGUUACCUCAAUAUCACAGCAAGCAGAAAAAAGAAAUAACUUCCUGGGAGUCCUUCCAGAAUUUUCUUCAGUCAUGGACCUGGGGACAUAUAUUUAAAAUACGCCUGUUGGACCGCACUGGGAGCACCUCAUGUCUUCGGUUUUUCUCCCGCGACGUUUGCGGGACCCUGUCCCAGCACAGUUGCCUGGGAAGAGCAUGCCACAUCGGUUUUCCCGAUUUUCUUCCGCAUUCGCCGACACGUGAGUUCCACGCUGAGCACGUGGGUCCUAAGCAGCACUGCUAGAGAACCAGUUGCUGGCCCUGCGGUCUAGCUGCGGCGCUGGGGCUGCGGACUGCUGCCCUCUCGUGGCCAGUCAGGGGAACGCCUCGAGAGUCCCAGCCCUCCAGGAUCUCACCCAUUCCCUCCCGCGGCAGCUCAACAGCCUGCUCUUGGUGCCCGAAAAGGACAGAAUCUUCGUUCUUCAUCUCUCAUGCUCACCCAGGGGCCAAAUCUUGCCUCAGUGAGGCAGCUGUGAAAAUUAGUUGGAGCAAGGAUGCUUGUCAGGUACUCCUAAGUUGGGGAACUCAGAUAAUGCCAGGUACCUGCUGGGUGUCCCGCACAGUGCUAAGAGACAGGGGAUUCCUUAUGCUUGAAUUGAACCAGCAAGGGCAGGCGCACUUAGCUUUGCCGCGUGAUUAGCUAAGCUGAAUGCUAGCAUCUAUUACCUUCCCUUCAUCUACCCACCUAACUAACUCACCCAUCCACUUAUCUAUAUAUCUAUUCAAC